rnacentral:rRNA from 1 species
AUUGAACGCUGACGGCAUGCCUUACACAUGCAAGUCGAACGGCAGCACGGGUGCUUGCACCUGGUGGCGAGUGGCGAACGGGUGAGUAAUACAUCGGAACGUACCUUAUCGUGGGGGAUAACGCAGCGAAAGCUGUGCUAAUACCGCAUACGCCCUGAGGGGGAAAGCGGGGGAUCGCAAGACCUCGCGCGAUUAGAGCGGCCGAUGCCUGAUUAGCUUGUUGGUGGGGUAAAAGCCCACCAAGGCGACGAUCAGUAGCUGGUCUGAGAGGACGAUCAGCCACACUGGGACUGAGACACGGCCCAGACUCCUACGGGAGGCAGCAGUGGGGAAUUUUGGACAAUGGGGGCAACCCUGAUCCAGCAAUGCCGCGUGAGUGAAGAAGGCCUUCGGGUUGUAGAGCUCUUUUGUCAGGGAAGAAACACCGGCUCUAACACAGUCCGGGAAUGACGGUACCUGAAGAAUAAGCACCGGCUAACUACGUGCCAGCCGCCGCGGUAA